rnacentral:rRNA from 1 species
AUGGGAACGCGAAGAACCUUACCUAGACUUGACAUCUUCUGCAUUAAUCGUAAUGGAUGAAAUCCCUUCGGGGACAGAAUGACAGGUGGUGCAUGGUUGUCGUCAGCUCGUGUCGUGAGAUGUUGGGUUAAGUCCCGCAACGAGCGCAACCCCUAUUAUUAGUUGCUAACAUUAAGUUGUGCACUCUAGUGAGACUGCCCGGGUUAACCGGGAGGAAGGUGGGGAUGACGUCAAAUCAUCAUGCCCCUUACUGUCUAGGGCUACACACGUGCUACAAUGGUGGGAACAAAGAGAUGCAAUACCGCAAGGUGGAGCUAAACUCAAAACCCCAUCCCAGUUCGGAUUGUAGGCUGAAACUCGCCUACAUGAAGCUGGAGUUGCUAGUAAUCGCGAAUCAGAAUGUCGCGGUGAAUACGUUCCCGGGUCUUGUACACACCG